GAAAUGUUGAUGUCGUUCAAUAACAAAGAUCGACGAUCGGCUCGACACGUGUCAUCGAGUGACGGCAUGGGCCCAAAAUUUUUCGUCGAUAAACAUUGAUAAGUGGCGAUGAAAAAAAUAAAUAAUUAAAGGUGAAAUAAAUACAACGACGUAACAGUGGGGAGAGCCGGCGAUUCAGAGGUCAAUAGCGAUCGCGAUAUGACACAGAAUUGUAGUUGUGAAUGAAAGAACGUCCGAUCCGCGGCUCAGAUUAUUGUUGGG
rnacentral:misc_RNA from 1 species